rnacentral:tRNA from 1 species
GGGAAGGUAGCUCAGUGGUAGAGCGCUUGCUUUGCAAGCAUGAGGCCCUGGGUUCGAUUCCUCAGCACCA